CUGUCCGACCCCCGCUCGGCUCGCCCGGUUCAGCCUCCCCCGGCCCCGCUCAGCCCUGCGCAGCCUGACCCAGCGAGUCCUGGCGCAGCACUCCCAGGCGGCGCUCAGGAUCACGGAAUCACAGAAUCAAUUAGGUUGGAGAAGACCUCUGAGAUCACCGAGUCCAACCUUUGGCCGAACACCGCUAUGUCAACUAGACCGUGGCACUGAGUGACAUGUCCAGUCUUUUCUUAAACACCUUCAGGGACAGUGCUCUGUGAUCAGGCAAUCCUGGGAGAAGAAAUGUGUCUGUCCCACCCAAGCUCAUCACCUUGACCUUCCAACUUCCAUAGGCCCCUCCCGUUGAAGCAUCCCUUUCCCAUUGCAGGAACAGAAAUGGACACUUGGAGAAAAAUCUGUGGACUGCUAGUAAUGCGAUGAAGGCAAGAGCUGAUGAAAGCUUUGAGGUCUUCCUUCUGGGCAGUCACUCCCAGGGAGAAGCAGCAUAUCCUUUGGAGGUGGUACCAGAAUCCACUGCUUUGGGGGCAUUACAAUGUUAUAGUGAUGCUCCUGCCACUGCCAGAGGUUUGGCCGUAACACCAGACAAUAUAUGAGAGUGCAAGCCUUCUUUCCAACCCUUGGCAGCCCAUGGCAUGCUCUUUUGGGUGGAAAUGCUGCCUACAUCCCCACCCCAUUCCCACCCAUUCAUUCCUCUGCAAAGCAUAGUUUGUCACCCCCUCGGCUGUGCUAAUGCACCCCCCGAGCUGAGGAGUGACACUGCUGGAUCUGCUGAAUGGUCCCAGCUAAUAAUACCCCCCAAUACCUCUUUAUUUUGGAAAGUUAUUCAAGGAUCCAACUUGCAGAAUGGCAUGAUAAACAUCUUGGCAAAGCUGAGUUGGCAGCAAAAGGAAGUGUCAGGGCAGGAGUAAAUGGUUAGGGCCAAGGAAAUGGCAGGAACGUCUUCAGCUGCUGUACAAUAAAAGACCAGAAGUAAUGAUUUGACACAUUUCUACCCAUCCUAUGUCUUUUUUUUUUUUUUUCCAAAUGAUGUUGUGAUUGCACAGACCUCUAACAUCCUUAAAACCUUUCAUGCCAAAAAUUUCCGUGGUCAGCAGGAACAUCAAUGCACCUGAAGUGGGAAGUGUGGCAUUUAGCAAUUGGUUACUACAGAAGCAGAAUAAGGGCAGAGUUAUGGCCAUAUGAAAAAACCAGGGCACAAUCUUGUAAUUAAAAGACCAUCAUAAUGCAUGUACCACUGAGGAGGACUGGGUAUUAAUCACUGUCUGAUUAAUACUUGAGAGCUUGUCUGUGUGAUCUGGAUGUAUUUUUAUGUGCUCACGUUGUGUAUGCACGUAUUUGGCCCAGUGGUGAGAAGCAAAUGUGUCUGAGGCUUGGAAGCUGAAGUUUCACUUGAUCUGGCUUCUUGAGUCAUUUCCUGUGGAUUUGCAAGAUCUCAUAUUUGAUCUCUGCUUUCACUGUCCUACUAAUUUAGAAGCUGCUGAGCGAUGUAUUCUCUGAAUGAUUUCUCUCCCUCUUGAUAUUACUUUCAUGCCGAUAGAUACUCAAUUUUAUUUCUCUGAUAUUCAGGUUACUGUGCCGGUUCUUGCGAGUGGUGCAUUCGAGAUGACUGACUUUUCUGAAUGAAAAGGCUCCCUCUCAGAGGAGUGGGAUUUCAGCAUGCCUUUGGAGAAUUGAUUUGGAGAAUUGUCAGGAUCAUUUCAGGCACCUGCCAGGGGAAGAGAAGGUGGAGAACUCCUUGCAGUCUUCCCAGGAUGUCGUUUUGGAGGGUGGUAAGAUCAGAGCAGGAAAGCAGAAAGGACCCUCACUGCCAGAUGAACUGGUUUGCUGAAGAACUGACUAUGCCACUGUUUUCUAGUUUUUAUUUCUUUGUAACUGUGUUUUACUAGGGCUGAAAGUGGCAACAAAUCUUAGGAGAUCUCUUAUGCUGUUGCCUGUGUGAUUUUUCAGGACACCAAGGGAUCAACCUGGGCAACAGCAAUGACUGUGCUGGUGUCUGGGAGGCAUUGACCAGUGCAUGCAGUCAGCCAUGAGUCACUUGUGUGGGACAAAUCUGCUGUCAUUUGUAGCUGAUUUCACGAAACCAUGCGCUCUCCUUCACCCUCUCCCAAAAUGCAAACAAAGUUUAUUGAAAUGAGGAGACUGUGAGGAAAAGGGGUCUUUUCAAAACCCUUGCUUUCUAACUGGGCACUCUGUUGCCCUCGUAAUAUUCAGCAGUAUGUGAUUUAUAGCUCCCCUGACACGAUGGUUUGGUGUUUCCUUUGUGUGCAUAACUUCCUUUUGAUAUAAAGGGAUGAUAACAAACCUAAACUGUAAUCUCACUAGCACAUGACACAUUGUCUUUGUGGUGCAGAUGGCAGGAAAAUGCUCUGAUCUUGAGUUCAGCACUUCAGCCUUCCCACCCCCACCCCAAAUUCCACCCUGGUAACAGGGUGGGCAUUAGCAAGUUUAGUGAGACAGCAGUGUUGGUGGGGGCGAUUCCUUCAGAUGCAGUGAUGCAGGAUGAUGGUUUUGGGAGUCCCACUGGAGUUGAGUCCCUGGUAUGGACUCAGCAAGAGAUGGGUGCACAGCUGCUUCUUUAUCUUCUUCUUACCUUUUUGUGCUGAAUGACUAGAAGGAAAAACUGCUACAAAACCUUCACUUACCGCUGUCAGUCCCCCAGCGGAGCUUUCCUUCUGUGCAUUCCCAACUCAGCGUGCCCUGGCCCGUCAAAUCAAAAAAAUAAUGUGCACGAACUCUGCAACUGUCACGGCAACCUCAGGAUUAGUCCUAAAGCUGGGCUACUUUUGGCAUGAGGGAAGGGCUGCUCUUCUCUUGAGAUGCCUUUCCACCCUUGAGAGGUUUCUGCAUUUUUGAUACAGCUGCUUCCAGAGCCUCAUGGGAGCUGAACAAACAGAUGUCAAAUACUCUGUUCGUACUUCAGGGAGCACAAAAGUGGAUGGGUCUGGGAUAAACACUGGAGCUGUGCACACCUUUUCCUCCCCUCCUCGGGGAUUAUUUGAAUUAGGCUUGAACCCUUAAGUGUAUUUCAAAAAGUUGCCUUCUGAUGGCCAAAAUUCACUUGGGUGUUCCUCCCUGUCUUGCACAGCUAUUGUGAGACCAACCCUUCUGAACACUCGUGCCCCCUUUAUUGCAAAACUCUUUGAUUGGCCUCAGCAGGUGACACAACAAACAGUUGACUGCUUACUUUAGCAAAAUCAGUUUUCAUGGCUUGACCUCCUUUUCUGACCCAGUGUCUUGCUGUGAGUAGAGGGUCCUAUUCAGUGUCUGAGCAGUUGUAAUGGCAGGAUUCCCCAGUCCAGGCCCAGACGUGGGAGAAACCCCCCCACAGGCAUUGAUCAGGAAAGGCUUCUGGAGUUAAAUUAAGCUUUUGAAAUAUGGAAAUGAGGACAUGGCUUAGUCAGGCGUUCAGUGGCAUAUGAUACGCAGGGGAAAUGAGUUAUAUGCACCCUAUUUGUGUCCCUCUGAACCCAGCCCUCAGCUUCAGGGCUGCUCGGUGACAUGACCCAUACAGAACUUUAAAGAUGCUUGACAAUGUUUGAUUUCAAAGGGUGCCAGUCCACCCUCUUCUCCAGGCAGAUAUUUUUCCUUGUGUCAACAUCCUCAUAACAACUCCAGCUAGGCAAUUAUAGCACAUGGCUUAUGAGUGUCCUGGAAGGACUCAGAGGUGGAGAGUUAGAGCUAAAGAAGGUUCAUGGUUAACCCCAUGCACCACUGAAUAGCUUUUCCAGGGAUAAAUCACAGCACAUGAUGAAGAAGCUGGGAGGAGAGUUUAAUGGUCCUGCAGAGAGCACCACCUUAGACAGCCACCCCUCAAGAUAUUCCCAAGGAUUCUCAUGGAAAAUAAUCCUACGCUCCUUUUAUGUCCUUGUAAUCACACACAUAUUAUGCUUCCCUGCCCAGUUCUAAGGAGAAAGGUAAUUAGUCACUCCACACAAACCUUUUGGGACUAUGCAUAUACUCCAGUAUGGAAUACAGCUCUGUCUAGAAGGGAAUAAAAAUGCACAACUCUGCUCUGGUUAUUAACAGAAGCUGCCAUUUGCAGGAACUGGGUGCAAGGCCUUCCACGUGCUCCCUGCCAGCUGCAUCUCCAGCAACAUUGGCUGCCAGGCUUAACAAAGCCCAGAAAUGGAAGCCCAGGUUAUGAGAGCUUCACACCUGUAACGCCAAAAGCACAGGCUUGACUCCUGCUCACAAAACUCCCUUGUUUUAGAUAGCAGGCUCUCCAGUUUCUUAGAGGAAAAAAAAAAAAAAAAAAAAGAAGAAAGGCUGGUUAUUGCUGGGUGUGUGUUCUGACCUUAAAAGCUGAAAGUAAAAACUCUUCCAGAUAUGGGGUGUGCUGAAGUGGCAGCUGAAGGGCUUUUUUUGUUCGUUCUACAGUUAAUACCAUCGUGCUAAAAUUGCACAGGGAGGAGUGGGGGUUAAUUUAAGAUUUAGUGUGACCAAAAAGAAUUAUUUAAAAAACAACAAGUGGACGACAUUCUGAAAAAUAAGCUUGAUUUCCAUAGUCAGGAGUACUUGACUUAAGUUGCAGGGACUGUGAAGGAAGCCUCCUGGAUCCAUGGCAGGUAAACAUCUGCUUUUGAUUCUGUUUUUCUCUUCAAGUAAACAUUUGCUUUUGAUUCUGUUUUUCUCUUCAAGUGUAGAAACCCCAGCAUUUACACUUAAAUGGAUGUGCUGUAAGCUAUGUUUAGGAAGAGAAUUUCAUCCCCUCCUGCACGUACUUUUAACACAUGAUAAUUAUUUGACUGCAGCUUUACAAAGUAUGGCUGGAGGGAUGGUUUGUAAGGGAGGAGUUACAUGGCACUGAUAACUGCCUGACUCAGCCCCACUGAAGGCAGUGGCAGCAGGAUCAGGCCAUCCAGAAGAGAUAUUUUAUUUUAAAUGUCAAUUAUGUACCUUCAGUGGCUUAUGGUAAAUUCCUGCCUCUUGAUUUCACGCGUUGGAGAACACGUGUAUGCUGGAGUGAUGAAUGUCUUCAGGGUCACGUGUUCAAUGUGGACAGGAAUCUCUGCAUUUUAUAACCUUUUUUUUAAAAAAAAAACAAACCAGGGAGCCAGAGAGCUUAUGAAGAUGAUGUUUUGGUGACUGAUACCAUUGGUUUUGUCUUCAUCAAACAUAUCACAGAGUCUGUGCUCUUCCUUUAUUUUUUGCUUUCUGCUUCUUCUCUCCCACCUGAUCUGUUCCUUCUAUACAACAGGAGCUAUAGUCCAAGAUUCAUCAAGGGGGGAAAAAUUUGCCCUAACCACAUGUCCAGAUGCAUUACCUUGCAUAUAACUGGUUCUGCUUGUGCCGAAGCCAUUGCCACAUUACCAGUAUUUAAUUUAUUAUUGCACAAAAUGCUUUGGAUAGCUGUGACAUUAAAAAGCUUUUCAUAAAUUGGUUCCUGCUCAGCUCUGAAGAGAUUUGGGUCUUUUCUUUGAUGUUUCUCGGUCUAAGAAAGUGAAAGCUCUCCUACAAGACUUGAUCAAAGUCCUGUGAGAUGGCAGUCUGAAUUUUGGCCCUUCCUCUCUUGGAGGAAAGCAAACCAGGACAAGUCUUUGUCUUCUUGAAAGAAACAUGGAUAACUGUCUUCUUUAAAAUCCUGUGAGGAUGGAAAGCAGAGGUUAUUUUCACUUUCCUGUAGAAAGGUCAACUCUAUCCCCUCUGCAGAUGGACCUCCCCAAGUAACAGGAUGAGCAAAGCACCUUUUGAGAAGGGUCACCAGAGCCUGUUGCUUUGUGCUUUCUGUAGAAUGCUAGCAGUGGAAAGGGCUUCAUGCCACUACCAUACAGCUGUCACCAAAAUCACAGCCAGAGGUUUAUUUGAUCAUAAAAUCUGCUACAGCAGGAAGCAGUGGAAGCUCUGCAGUAACUUACUUUGCUGCACACAGCUACCCCAAAAGGGGCUUUGACCUUUAAACAAUGGCACUUUGUUAUAUGGAAUUUUCUUAUGUUAAUUUUCCAAGUAUUGAGGGGAAGAAGAUCACUGAGAAACAGGAGAUUUUGAAAAAAAAAUUUAAAAAUGUAAUAAAUCAUAUAUUGUGACUUUUGAUAUAGUUAGUACAUCCAUGUAAUAACGUCUGGUAUGACUAGUCUUCAUUCGUAUCCUUCACAAUCAUUUGUAGGGGUGAAGAGUGUUGCACUUCCAUUACAGCAGAAGAAAUCACAGCCUGAGGAGAUACCCAGGUGUCAGGGAGAGGACUUGAACUCAUGAGCAUUUGGGAGUCAUCUAGGGCAGGAAAACAACAUCUACUCGAGUUUAAUUCCCUGUGCUUUUUUAUGUGUGUUUAGCUGCUUGGCUGUGAGUGGUAUUUAAAUCCCCUGAGCCCCUCUGUUCUCUUGUAAUUUACUAUCAGAAAGGACAGAAAUAAAUUCUAACAUGUUUGUGAGACAUAUCAGAAUUACUUCAAACUUAGGAGAAUUUUGAAUUAAACUUAAAUGCUUCAAAGCCUAAAUAUCACACUGCUAAUUAUCUUCUUAUUAGUUUAAAUCAUCAUGGAUAAAAAUGAAAUGCUGCUGUGAAAACUGCCCCAUCAAACUGAACGUGGUUGUAGCUGUUUGCCUGGUGUGGCCUGAGUAAAAGUGCUCUACUCUGCAUUUCUACUUUAGAAAGAUUCUUUAUGCCCUGAUUUCCAAGUUCGAAAAUAACUCUCUACAGAUGAAACACAUUUUUCACCCUUCAAAGAAGUGUUUUCACCUACAAAUACUCCU